AAAAAUUCCUAUGAUCCAAGUUGUAUGCUUUUUUCAGCCUAGGCAUGCAGAAUUUCUGAGGAACCUCUAAGAACAAAUCCCAUUUCUGAGCUACCAGGUCUUCCACCUUUUGGCUUUACCCCAGGUAGCCCCUGGCGCCACUCCAGCCGGCCUCACUGAAGCCCCAUGUUUGCUUGCUCAGAAACCCCUUCUGCCUGGAACAGCCUGCCCCUAGAUGUUCUCCCAAUUUGCUGUCUCUUCUAAACCCACCGCAAAUCCAGUCUGUCUUGAAUAGUUUCCUGCCUUGAAGAUCCACCCACUGCACAACCAAGAAACACAACCAACCUCUGUAUGUUUAUAAAUUGUCUAGGCAAUUGUGUUAUCUAUGUAUUACUCAGAUGAUUUACUUAUCAGCACUUUGUUCUCACUAUUAGAUGCAUGCCCUGUAAUGUACCUGUGGAAAGAAUGUCUACAGAUCACUGAAUAGAAUGUGAAUUCAUUCUCAGAAUGGCAAACAUCCUGUCUUUUUGGAGUGAUGGAAAAACAAAAGGUCAUACCAAGUUCACCAGAAUAUGUAUAACUGGUCUACAAUGGUGUUGUAUUCUUAACUAGCAUGACAUGCCAAAAAUGAGGGCUUACUUUGGAAAACUGCAAAAUCCAAUACAUGCAAUACUGACCGUGUUCAUUUCAUUACAUUUUAUAAAACUGUCUGUUGGCAAUUGGGUGUCAAAAUGGGCUUGUCAAAUCUUUGCAAGAGAAGGAGUUUUUUUUUUUUUUCCUCAAAGCUACACAAUCUAAAUUACUUUUAGUUUCAAAUGUGAAACAUGGUGGAUUUUUAAAGAAUUGUUUCAUGCCCACAGGUAAGUGGAACAGAGAAUUGCACAAUCAGUUCUAUUCAUCUGCUCAAGCUUGGCAAUAACUCUGCAUCAAGAGUGGUCCAGCAGAGAGGCUGUCCACACUGUGUGCUUUUGCUAAAACCAGUGUUGAGAUCUAUAUAUAAUUUGAUUACAGGCUUCUGCUUUAGAAGCCACCAGUUUCUGGUUAGCCUAAACGCUACUCACACAGUGUCCUAAGGCUGUCGAGUUCCUCCUGCACCAGAGUUGGCCCACGGGGACCUAAGUCUACUCAGCUCACUGAGAUGUGGAGAGAGUGCCCCCCACAAUUCAACUAAGACUUUAUUACAUUUUCCCAUGGCCCUCAUGUUAACCAGAAUUAAGUGCCACUUUCACUAGUGGUGCCAGAGGCAGCUUGCCACUCUCUUCCAAAAAUUAAAUCUUUCAAUUUAGUACUAAAGAUUGAGUGCUUCCUUCAGUAUUCUUAUCUUGAAAUAAAAUAAUCCCAACUUCCCUAACCACAGAGUCAUAAGCCGUAAUUAGCUUUGUUGCUGUAACCUAAUCCCCUCCAGUCCAUCUUGAGUCUCUCUGGUUGUGGCACACACAAGAUGGUGCCUGGAGAAAGAAUGGGCCAGACCUAAGUGUGAACCCCUUCCCUGAUCCCUCUAGGGAUGCAACCUUCGGCAAGUCACUUACCUCUCUUUGGCCCCCAGUUUACCACUCUAAAUUGUGGGAAUUAAAUGAGAUUAUUCUGUUACAGAAAGUAUCCAGCAUUGUGUCUGAAACACAGCUCCCAAAAAUACUACUUUCUCUUUCUUUCCCCAAAUCAUUAUUGUAGUGAAAGUCAGUUGUCUAUAACUAUGUGUCUAAUGUGAUCAUCACCAGCCACAAGUGGCUAUGUAUAUUUAAAUCAAUUAAGAUUAAAUAUGAUUUAAAAUUCAGUUCUUUGCACUAACCAGAUUUCAAGCAUUAAGUAGUCACUUGUAGCUAGUGGCUACCAUAUUGGACUGUGUGGAUGUAGAACAUUUUCAUCAGAAAGUUCUAUUGGAUUGUGCUGGUUACCAUAUUCACCUGGAUUCAAGGCUUCCAAAAACAUCCAUGUCAGUCUCUACCUACACUGUGUCAUGUGAAAUCUUUCCUCGGUAACAGGAAUAAAUGCAACCACUUUGUUUCCUAUCACAUCUCUUUAAAAAAAAUAUAUUUUUUUGAUGUGGACAGUGUUUAA